UUCAGAAUUCCUUCCAGUAUGUGACGUAUGGAAGAGAUGUUGAGCCCAGUGGUGGAAGCUGCUGAAUCUCACCCUCCCCACCCCCGUUACAGGUAGCGUGUAAUUGCUGGAGUAGCGAUCUUCACGUGAUCGCUGGCUGUUCCUGCUGUUUGCAAGUUCUUCACCACGCGACCACAAGUUUAAUCGGUUACAGCUCGAGCUUCAACUGGGCACGAUGCAUUCUGUUGACAGAAUGAAACCUCUCCCCAGCGCCGAUGUUUCUGAAAGCAUUUUUGACAUGAACUAUUUAUCUUGGCAAGUCCGGGGCAAGCUGAUAGCUGCCGGCUUCCUGUUCUACUUUGGGGUCUUUAUUUUCUCGCACGUGCUAAGCCUCGCUCUGUCACUGACCUACCGCUCACUGGCAGCCAAGGAGAGGGUGUUCUGGAACCUGGCUGUCAGCCGUGGGGCGUUUGGGAUCCAGAGCAUGGUGGCUGGGCUCUGGGCUCUGCUGAAGGAUCCCGUGCUGCAGGCUGACAGGAUGUUCGGCCAACAGAGCUGGAGUUGGUUCAACGUCCUCACAGCGUUUGGUUUCUUCACGUUUGAGAACGCAGCUCUUCACGGCUCCAACGUGGUCUUCGGAAGCUUUGACGCCGCCCUGGCAAUCCACCACUUCUUUGCCGUGUCUGGGUUUGGCAGUGUCUUGGUGUGGGACACAGUUGGCCACUACCUGCCGAUGCUGAUACUGCUGCUGGAGAUGAGCACCCCUUUCACCUGCGUCUCCUGGAUCCUGCUGAAGGCUGGCUUGUCACACAUUCGGCUGUGGAAAUUGAACCAGUGGCUGAUGAUCCACAUGUUCCACUGCCGCAUGGUCCUCACGUACCACAUGUGGUGGGUGUGCUGGCAGCACCUGGACACCAUCCAGCGCCACGUCCCCACGCCACAGGCCGCGCUCUUCUUCCCCGGCCUCUUGCUGCUGACGUUCAUCAUCAACCCGUACUGGACCCGCAAGAAGACCCUGCAGCUCCUGAACCCUGUCGACUGGAACUUUGCCGCCGAGACCAAGGGAGUGGCCAAUGGUGGCAGCGAUGCAGCUGGCAAGAAAACAACAUGAGGUGCAAAUGCUGCGGGUUUGGGGAUAAAUGCGUGAAACAUCAUCUCUUGCAACUUAACGCUGACGGCAGUCUGGAUCACCACUGUGUUCUAGAUUUGGCAUCUGAUCACCCCUCCCCCCUCGCCCUCCUGUGGUGGGUGUGCUGGGAGCAUCCGGAAAAAAAUAACCUUUGAUACACAAUUUAAAAUGUUCUCUUCCACUAACUGCUUACAGGAGAAUUUAGAUUAACACGACAUGUCCUUGCAAAUUGUAAUCUGUGUGGAUGUGGCCAUGAGCCAUGUUGCUGUAUAAUCUGUGUGGGUGUGGCCAUGAGAUGAUGCCAGGAGGUCAUGGCAUGAUGAUGGUGCAGUAAUGGUUAAACAUGGCCGUGGAGGGCCUCGCAGUGAAAUCCAUUCACUUUAGACUUAACUGCCCGCAUGACACGUUUAGAAUGGAACUCAUUUAACUAACUAUUCAUUCUUUAAAUAUUUUGUUACGCCAUAGAUUUGUCAAAAGUCUUUAAUGUUUAAAGUUCAUCCUCAGACGUGAUACAUCAAGGCAACUAAAUGAUAGCAUUAAUGUUUGCAGAUUUUGAAUAUUGGGGGUGGCCACUGAAAUGUUUACGCAAUGUUCACGCCUGUUGUGUUCUCCGCUUCCUGUCAUGUCAUAUGGUCUCAUGUCAUAUGGUCUAAGUGAUUGGAGCAGAAUUAGGCCAUUCAAUGUUCAUGGCUGAUCUAUCUGCUGCCGCCAUUCUCCUGCCUUCUCCCCACAACCCAUGACACAGAGUAGACUUGAUGGGCCGAAUGACCUAAUUCUACUCCUAUUCCUUAUGACCUUAUAACACCGUACUAAUCAAUCUUCUAUCAAUCUCCGCCUUAGAAAUAUCCAUUACGGCCUCCACAGCCGUCUGUGGCAAUGAAUUCCACCCUCUGACUAAAGAAAUGCCUCCUCAUCUCCUACCUAAAAAAUAGAAAAAAUAGAUGCAGGGGUAGGCCAUUUGCCCCUUCGUGCCAGCAUCAAAGGAACAUCCUUCAAUUCUGAGGCUGUGUCCUCUGGUCCUAGACUCUCCCACUAGUGGAAACAUCCUCUCCACAUCCACUCUAUCCAGGCCUUUCACAUCAACGCAGUAUUUGCAGGAAUCACUAACUUGUAAACACCAUACGCAACACUCUGGGACAGGUUCUUAUUUUGGCCCGAAGGAGUCAUGCUAACUUUUUCAAUUUAACUUUUAUUUAUCGCUCUCGAUGUAGCUAUUAAUCGUUGAAGAGUAUUUUACAUUUUAAAUAUUUCUGUAUUCCUGAAAGCCCAAAAUAUGUCCUGUUGUGCUUGCAAAUCUGUUCAAUUUAACCUUAAUUACAAGCGAUUGGCAUGACAGUCAACUGCCUGUAUGUUUAUCUCUGUGUGUUACUGGGUAUGAUGAUGAUGAUGAUGAGGUAACUGGGGGAAGUCCUUCAAGAAUACCCAAACUCUGCAAUGGAACUGCAAAUCAAACAGAUUUUUACUAAACAUCUAAGAAAAAGCUGGAUUACUCCAGCAUUUUGUUUCUUAAACCAAUAUCUGCUUUUCCCACUUUACUAGACAACUCUUUGUCUCCGAGUUUUCCAGUGUUUUGGGGAUAUUACUUGGAUCUGCAAAUUGCCACUUGGCUAGUUUGCAAAGUCCUGCCAUUGAUUGAUCCAAUCACUGCAGAGUGCCUGAUCCAGGCAAUGACACAAGGUCUGGUUUGAUUUGCAAAUGUUCUAGUUCCUGGUACGGGCGAUGACUUGUGUUGCUUUAGGAGGAACAAAGCACAAUCCUUGCAUUUCAAUGCUGCCAUUCCAGGAAUUGUGUGUGUGUGUGUCGGUGAGCUGCUGUCCUAUUUUAAGAGUUCAGAACAAGAAUUAGAGCUGCUUCUGGAGUUGUUUUAAGAAUGAGUUCUCCAUGUCAGAAGAAUGACAGUAUUCAUUGGCAAGAUCAUUUUGUAUUUGAAGCACACUG